rnacentral:rRNA from 1 species
AACGAACGCUGGCGGCGUGGAUAAGACAUGCAAGUCGAACGGGAUUUUUUUCUGUAGCAAUACAGGAAAAAGUCUAGUGGCGAACGGGUGCGUAACACGUGAGCAACCUGCCGUGAAGUGGGGGAUAGCUCGCCGAAAGGCGAAUUAAUACCGCAUGUGGCCAAGGAAGACAUCUUCCUGACGCCAAAGCCGGGGCAACCUGGCGCUUCUCGAGGGGCUCGCGGCCUAUCAGCUUGUUGGUGAGGUAACGGCUCACCAAGGCUAGGACGGGUAGCUGGUCUGAGAGGACGACCAGCCACACUGGAACUGAGACACGGUCCAGACACCUACGGGUGGCAGCAGUCGAGAAUUUUUCACAAUGGGGGAAACCCUGAUGGAGCGACGCCGCGUGGAGGAUGAAGGUUUUCGGAUUGUAAACUCCUGUCAUUAGAGAACAAGGCACACGGUUUAACUGACCGUGUGUUGAUAGUAUCUGAAGAGGAAGAGACGGCUAACUCUGUGCCAGCAGCCGCCGUAA